CUAACAACGGGUCAUAAAUCCAGUUGUUAUAAAUGUAUAUAUAACGACAAGAUAUUUUUUCGGUCGUUGAAAUCAAUUUCUAAAUUAGAAACAACGAAAGGAUAAAUUCCAGUCUUUGAAAGUAGUGAUAUCGGUCGUUAAAACUAGAUAAAAGAGCGCCAGAUAUAUUUAUUUUUGCUAUUCUAACAAAUUCUUUUAUCAUUUGGCUAACUUUCUUUUAGUACUUUUUUUUUUUUGUUUAAUUACAAUCUCCUACUCGUGGAAACCCCCAUUCCUUCUCUUCCAAAUCAGAAUUUGUCUGCGAGCCCUAAUCUCCAAUACCGCUUGCAUCUUGGUCAUGCGAAAUCGGGUGAUCAGUCUACCUCUCGAUUCUUGUAUGUGAUAUAAUUACAUUAUGAAACUAGACAACACCGAGGGUUUCAAAUUGGUCAUCAACAAAACGCCCAUGUCUCUCACACCACAGGUACUCUUCAAGUUGCUACUCUUUUUGUGGAAGAUUAUGUUAAAAAAUUGCAAAGUGAGGUGUUCAAGUCAUGCCAUAUGGAUUCUGUUAAGAGAAAUCAUCACCGGAAUCUGCUGGACAGUAAGUUAUCUGAAUCUUUGAAGUAAUAUGUGGUUGAUUUAUAUUUGCUAAGUUUAAAAAUGUAUUAGACAUUUGGGUUUGUCUUCUAAGGGCUUGUUGUUAACAAUCCGAGCUACGCUAUGCUAGUGUCGAUAUAUCUUAAUCUUCUGUAAUCCUAGCUCAUUGUCUAUUAAGAAAUAUUGUAUCUCA